rnacentral:rRNA from 1 species
UAGGGAAUCUUACACAAUGGGCGCAAGCCUGAUGGAGCGACACCGCGUGAGUGAAGAAGGGUUUCGGCUCGUAAAGCUCUGUUGUUAAAGAAGAACACGUAUGAGAGUAACUGUUCAUACGUUGACGGUAUUUAACCAGAAAGUCACGGCUAACUACGUGCUAG